rnacentral:misc_RNA from 1 species
AAGUCGUAACAAGGUUUCCGUAGGUGAACCUGCGGAAGGAUCAUUAACACGUCUUUAUAUCCAAUAUAUAAACUCAACGCGAACUAAAACCCCCGCCCUAUCAUAUACACGGUCAAGGUUAGUUUUAAUUAACUCUGACUGAUGCUAGGCAAUUUUAUCAACAAUCAUUUUAAACUCUUAUAACCUAGUUGAUCUAACUACUAAGACAUUCUAGUAUUCAUUCUAUGAAUACUGCUUGUUGUUAUAUUACGAAAUGUAAGAACAACUCUUAGCAAUGGAUAUCUUGGUUCUG